UAGGGAAUCUUCCACAAUGGACGCAAGUCUGAUGGAGCAACGCCGCGUGAGUGAAGAAGGUUUUCGGAUCGUAAAGCUCUGUUGUUGGUGAAGAAGGAUAGAGGCAGUAACUGGUCUUUAUUUGACGGUAAUCAACCAGAAAAUCACGGCUAACUACGUGCCAGCAGCCGCGGUAAUACGUAGGUGGCAAGCGUUGUCCGGAUUUAUUGGGCGUAAAGCGAGCGCAGGCGGAAUGAUAAGUCUGAUGUGAAAGCCCACGGCUCAACCGUGGAACUGCAUCGGAAACUGUCAUUCUUGAGUGCAGAAGAGGAGAGUGGAAUUCCAUGUGUAGCGGUGGAAUGCGUAGAUAUAUGGAAGAACACCAGUGGCGAAGGCGGCUCUCUGGUCUGCAACUGACGCUGAGGCUCGAAAGCAUGGGUAGCGAACAGG
rnacentral:rRNA from 1 species